rnacentral:rRNA from 1 species
UACGUAGGGGGCAAGCGUUGUCCGGAAUUACUGGGCGUAAAGCGUGCGUAGGUGGUUUGUUAAGUCCGUUGUGAAAGCCCUGGGCUCAACCUGGGAAUGGCAGGUGGAUACUGGCAAGCUAGAGUGCGGUAGAGGGUAGUGGAAUUCCCGGGUGUAGCAGUGAAAUGCGUAGAGAAUCGGGAGGAACACCAGUGGCGAAGGCGGCUACCUGGACCAGCACUGACACUGAGGCACGAAAGCGUGGGGAGCAAACAGGG